rnacentral:rRNA from 1 species
GGAGGGCGCAAGCGUUGUUCGGAAUCAUUGGGCGUAAAGCGCGUGUAGGCGGCUUGGUUAGUCGGAUGUGAAAGCCCGGGGCCCAACCCCGGAAUUGCAUUCGAAACUGCCUCGCUAGAGUCCCGGAGAGGAGAGCGGAAUUCCCGGUGUAGAGGUGAAAUUCGUAGAUAUCGGGAGGAACACCAGCGGCGAAGGCGGCUCUCUGGACGGUGACUGACGCUGAGACGCGAAAGCGUGGGGAGCAAACAGGAUUAGAUACCCUGGUAGUCCACGCCGUAAACGUUGGGUGCUAGGUGUCGCGGGUAUUGACCCCCCUGCGGUGCCGUCGCUAACGCAUUUAGCACCCCGCCUGGGGAGUACGGUCGCAAGACUA